ACAGCUUGUUCCUCUGGGAACUGCCCUGCAGUGUCUGCAUACAGCCACCCUCGACCUGUCUGCCUGGUCUUUGCAACCUCUAGUGGCUGUUGUUCCACAAUGUGUUGUGAAGAGACCUGAAUGGUUUGCACCAAAACACAAACACAAACCAUUGGGAGAGUGAUUGGUGAAGUGAUGGACAUUUACUCGGGCAAAGGCAUGCAUGUAAAAUAGUCCCUAUCUGGAUGGACCUACGCCUGUGGCAGGAAGUUCACUGGUCAAUUACCUGCUGACUGAAGUGGCCUAUUUUCUUCUGACCCCCUGCUUCUCUCUUCCCCUCUCCGCCCUGAAAGCUGUUUGGGCAUAGGGAGGUCUUGACCUGAGGAAACCAUCUUGGGUAACCAAGGCAAGGAAAGGGAAUAUGCAACACCUAGGAGAUUUCAGCAAACAGUAGAAUCAUGCCAACGUAAUCUGUGUUAAAAUGCUUGGAAUGUGGGAGCCGCCGGUGAUGUCUGUUGUCUGUGUGUCUCCAGUAAUCCUUUCUUUUUUAAGUGCAGCAAAGCCAAGCCUGGAAACCAGGCCAAGCGCCUGCCACUUACCUUAAAUUUAUCAGCCACUUUGAGAUUAAAACCCCUGAAAGCUGCUGCACAGUGAAAGCAAGGCCUCCUUCACAUUAAAGGCAAAUCGCAACUCUG
rnacentral:lncRNA from 1 species